GGGUGAGUAACGCGUNNGCAACCUGCCCCUUACNGAGGGAUAGCCUCGGGAAACCGGGAUUAAAACCUCAUAAAGCGAGAAGACCACAUGGGCUUUUCGCCAAAGAUUUAUCGGUAAGGGAUGGGCCUGCGUCUGAUUAGCUAGUUGGUAGAGUAACGGCCUACCAAGGCGACGAUCAGUAGCCGACCUGAGAGGGUAAUCGGCCACAUUGGAACUGAGACACGGUCCAAACUCCUACGGGAGGCAGCAGUGGGGAAUAUUGCACAAUGGGCGAAAGCCUGAUGCAGCAACGCCGCGUGAGCGAAGAAGGCCUUUGGGUCGUAAAGCUCUGUCGAAAGGGAAGAAACAAAUGACGGUACCUUUCGAGGAAGCCCCGGCUAACUACGUGCCAGCAGCCGCGGUAAUACGUAGGGGGCGAGCGUUAUCCGGAAUUAUUGGGCGUAAAGAGUGCGUAGGUGGUCUUGUAAGCGUGGGGUGAAAGGCAGUGGCUUAACCAUUGUAAGCCCUGCGAACUGUGAGACUUGAGUGCAGGAGAGGAAAGCGGAAUUCCUAGUGUAGCGGUGAAAUGCGU
rnacentral:rRNA from 1 species